GGGGAAUUUUCCGCAAUGGGCGAAAGCCUGACGGAGCAAUACCGCGUGAGGGAGGAAGGCUCUUGGGUCGUAAACCUCUUUUCUCAGGGAAGAACACAAUGACGGUACCUGAGGAAUAAGCAUCGGCUAACUCCGUGCCAGCAGCCGCGGUAAUACGGAGGAUGCAAGCGUUAUCCGGAAUGAUUGGGCGUAAAGCGUCCGCAGGUGGCGAUGUAAGUCUGCUGUUAAAGAGUCUAGCUCAACUAGAUAAGAGCAGUGGAAACUACAUAGCUAGAGUACGUUCGGGGCAGAGGGAAUUCCUGGUGUAGCGGUGAAAUGCGUAGAGAUCAGGAAGAACACCAGUGGCGAAGGCGCUCUGCUAGGCCGUAACUGACACUGAGGGACGAAAGCUAGGGGAGCGAAUGGGAUUAGAUACCCCAGUAGUCCUAGCCGUAAACGAUGGAUACUAGGCGUGGCUUGUAUCGACCCGAGCCGUGCCGUAGCUAACGCGUUAAGUAUCCCGCCUGGGGAGUACGCCGGCAACGGUGAAACUCAAAGGAAUUGACGGGGGCCCGCACAAGCGGUGGAGUAUGUGGUUUAAUUCGAUGCAACGCAAAGAACCUUACCAAGGCUUGACAUGUCGCGAAUCCUGGUGAAAGCCGGGAGUGCCUUCGGGAGCGCGAACACAGGUGGUGCAUGGCUGUCGUCAGCUCGUGUCGUGAGAUGUUGGGUUAAGUCCCGCAACGAGCGCAACCCUCGUUUUUAGUUGCCAGCAUUAAGUUGGGCACUCUAGAGAGACUGCCGGUGACAAACCGGAGGAAGGUGGGGAUGACGUCAAGUCAGCAUGCCCCUUACGCCUUGGGCUACACACGUACUACAAUGCUCCGGACAGAGGGCAGCAAGCAUGCGAAUGCAAGCAAAUCCCGGAAACCGGAGCUCAGUUCAGAUCGCAGGCUGCAACUCGCCUGCGUGAAGGAGGAAUCGGUAGUAAUUGCAGGUCAGCAUACUGCAGUGAAUUCGUUCCCGGGCCUUGUACACACCGCCCGUCACACCAUGGAAGCUGGUAGUGCCCGAAGUCAUUACUCCAACCAUUCGUGGAGGAGGAUGCCUAAGGCAGGACUGGUGACUGGGGU
rnacentral:rRNA from 1 species